GGGAACGGGACGAUCAGCAAUGAUCUCCGCGGUUCGGUGUUUGGGGACGGGUGGCAUAAGCCGUUGGGGGACGGCGCGACCCGAGACCGGCGGUUAGUGCGGGCGACGCCUAUGGGGAUGGGGGUCGCCCGCCGCCGCCGGCGCUUUUCUUUGUGUGCACGUGACCGUUCC
rnacentral:sRNA from 1 species